UCCUCAGCUUUGGCACCCGCCUGCGUAAGGCGUCCAUGGAGCCACCUCUGUUAUUCAGGCGACAGCAGAAUCCAGACCCUUCUCAGCUCUUCUCCGUCUCUCUGCACCUCCCUGAACGUGGAGUCACAUGAGAGCAGCUCCAUGGAGAAAGUUAUGCUGCCAUGACGACAUCAGGGCCACAAGUUUGAGACUGUGUUGGUCUCCCCCCACCAAGACCUCGAAGAAGCCUUCACGUGUCUUCAUUCCCUCUGCAGAAUGCUCUUCACAUGCUGUAUGAUUGUCUGACCUUCCUUGCCAGGAAUAAAUUCUACUUAAAAGAC